rnacentral:lncRNA from 1 species
GUCCUCGCUCUGUUUACAACGCCAAAUCACAUAUUUUCACGUGUUGAUACAACGGCUGCAUUCCAAGCCACAACAAGUGCAACUUCAAACUGGGUUUAGCAGAACUCUUCCCAACCAUAAAACCCAUGUCUUCAACUUCUAAGACUGUAUUAAAUUCAUACGAUUGAUAAUAUACGACGAACUAUCUUUACUACCAUUUAUUUGAAGGAGUUUGUUUUGGCCGUU